ensembl:lncRNA
UCUUUGUAUCUUCCAGCGUGCAGUUUGAGUCCUUAAAGGGAGGUUUCUGUGAUGAAGACAGUGAAGAGCAUGAAAAACAUUCAAGGUUUCUAAGAGUCUAAAUAGGUCAGAUUGUCUCUGGAGGCCUUUUCCACCGACACUCAUCACUAAACCACAGACACACACAUGCUAGCAUCCAACAACAAGAGCCCCCCCCCCUCCACGCAGACCCACAUCCUGCUCAGCUCGCCUCGUGGUGCCUUCACUUUAACGUGUUCGGGUCUUCGCGCUCGUCUCUGGUGCGAGCUUCAGGAGAAUGACUGGGCUUACUGGGCUUACUGGGCUUACUGGGGCCACGGUGCUGCUGUUGGUGUCUUUGUGUGCGUUGUCGUCAACUCAGGAGGAGAAAGCGGCCUUAGAGGUCAAUUACCCGCAGAGCCGCGUCGCCGCCGCCCCCGGCUCCUCCCUCCGGCUCCUCUGCCACGUCACCUAUGACGUAGCGCAGUGCGGCCAGCUGCGGGCCGCGUGGUACCAAUCGGGCAGUCCGUCCGACGUCGAGCUGACCGACCCCAGCAGGUACGUCACCACGGUGAACGAGACCGAGGACGGCGCGAGGCGCAGGCGGGUGAUGACGGAGAUCGUCCACGUGACGCCGCGGGACGAAGGACGGUUUCAGUGCAAAGCGGAGUGCAAGGACGGGGGGGCGGUGGGACACUUCAUCCAGGUCACUGUCGGAGGAUGACGUGACGCCUCUGAGGCUGAGCGGAAGCAUCCGGAGACAAAGUUCAUCUCAUCUUCAUGUGACAGAAGAUCCAGCUGUUGCUUCAAGUCAAAGACUUCUGUGUUGCUCAACGUCAGAACCUGCUGCUUAAUGUUUGUAUUAAAUUAAAUUAAAACAUUGAGUCCUGAAAUCAUUUUUACAUUAUAAAGCAAUUAACAUUCAUCAAACAUCAGAGGAAUCCGUAUUUACAAAUAUUGGAUUUUAUUAGGGCUGCAACUAACGAUUAUUUUGAUAAUCGAUUAAUCGGUCUAUUAUUUCUUUGGCAAAAAUCGGUAUUAAAAAGCUUUAGUUUCCAACCCUUUAUUCUAAAACAGAACCUCAAAUUCGUCAGAACUAGUUCUCUAUACUACACUCACAAACACACCCUCAUGUUCACUUGAAGCAUAUUCAUUAAAUUAUUACCAUCAUUGUAGUGCAAGUUAAGUAAAUGCAUACAGCUAAAAAACAACCAAGUGCUAUGAGAUGAAUUUAAAAUGGUAUUUGUAAAUAAAUGCAUUAGAGGCUUCUUAGUUGAUUUAAUGGAUCACCAUGUGUCUCCCUUUACAGGCAUAACAUCAACUACCGUAUAACCCACAGUAUCUGCGCAAGCGCACUGGACUACCGUAUAUGACAGCAUUAAAAAGUACAACACACACAAAUAUAUUUGUCAACAAUAACCGAUAUGGGACAAAGCACAAAAAAAUCAGACAACACAUUGAAAAAUGAAAGGUCCAAAAGAGGCGAGUAAAUAAAAACGUGUCUUGCUAACUGCUUUACUGCUGUUAUUAGCGAGCUAACGCUAGCUUGAUCAGCUGGAUGACGAGUAAACAGGAGGCUUGUUACGUCCCUCAUGUCAAAACGGGACCACGUGGACCGGGACCCCCCACGCUCGCACACCUUAGACGACCAGUCGAACAGACGUCUCUCCCUGCGUCAUGUGACUCACAACAACUGCCGGCUGCUCGUUCCUCUACGGCGGCUCGCCGCCUUUAUUUUUAUUUUUGCUCCGCGCGCAUCUCCGCAACUCAUUGAGUGACGUAAUAAUCGCGCGACACAACGAAUCGAUGAUGAAAUUCGUUGCCAACGCUUUUAAUAAUCGAUUUUAUCGAUUCGUUGCCAUAGAUUUUAUGUGAUUUCAAUUAAAUGUGCUGGUGGAUUCCAUCCAUAUGGACACGUCUCACACCAACACGUCUCACAUCAGCGUGUCUCACACCAACACGUCUCACAUCAGCGUCUCACACCAACACGUCUUACAUCAGCGUGUCUCACACCAACACGUCUCACACCAGCGUGUCUCACUACUUCUGGAGGAAAUGGGGGACAGUUUUUAUUAUGUGAUGAUUCCUGUGAUGCAUGUUGACGGUUUGCAUCAUUAUGUAGAAUAAUUCCUCUGUAUUUAAUCCUGUUGCACUUACAUUUGAUUUUACUGCCGUUUGACAUGUUUAAAAGCAGAGUCAUUUCAAACCAGAUGGAAU